rnacentral:rRNA from 1 species
UGGGGAAUAUUGCACAAUGGGCGAAAGCCUGAUGCAGCGACGCCGCGUGCGGGAUGAAGGCCUUCGGGUUGUAAACCGCUUUUGAUUGGGAGCAAGCGAGAGUGAGUGUACCUUUCGAAUAAGCACCGGCUAACUACGUGCCAGCAGCCGCGGUAAUACGUAGGGUGCAAGCGUUAUCCGGAAUUAUUGGGCGUAAAGAGCUCGUAGGCGGUUUGUCGCGUCUGGUGUGAAAGUCCAUCGCUUAACGGUGGAUCUGCGCCGGGUACGGGCAGGCUAGAGUGCGACAGGGGAGACUGGAAUUCCCGGUGUAACGGUGGAAUGUGUAGAUAUCGGGAAGAACACCAAUGGCGAAGGCAGGUCUCUGGGUCGUCACUGACGCUGAGGAGCGAAAAGCGUGGGGAGCGAACAGGAUUAGGAUACCCUGGUAGUCCACGCCGUAAACGGUGGAUGCUGGAUGUGGGGCCCAUUCCACGGGUUCCGUGUCGGAGCUAACGCGUUAAGCAUCCCGCCUGGGGAGUACGGCCGC